rnacentral:rRNA from 1 species
GUUAUAUGGUCAAGCGAAUAAGCGCACACGGUGGAUGCCUAGGCGGUCAGAGGCGAUGAAGGACGUGGUAGCCUGCGAAAAGUGUCGGGGAGCUGGCAACAAGCUUUGAUCCGGCAAUAUCCGAAUGGGGAAACCCACUGCUUCGGCAGUAUCCUGCAGUAAAUUCAUAGCUGCUGGAAGCGAACCCGGUGAACUGAAAUAUCUAAGUAACCGGAGGAAAAGAAAUCAACCGAGAUUCCCUAAGUAGUGACGAGCGAACGGGGAGCAGCCCUUAAGCUGGAAUGGCUUUAGAAAAACAAUCUGGAAAGAUUGGCCAUAGAAGGUGAUAGCCCUGUAUUUAAAAGGGCCACUCCAGUGAAGACGAGUAGGGCGGGGCACGUGAAACCCUGUCUGAAUAUGGGGGGACCAUCCUCCAAGGCUAAAUACUCCUGACCGACCGAUAGUGAACCAGUACCGUGAGGGAAAGGCGAAAAGAACCCCGGAGAGGGGAGUGAAAUAGAUCCUGAAACCGUGUGCGUACAAGCAGUAGGAGCUCGCAAGAGUGACUGCGUACCUUUUGUAUAAUGGGUCAGCGACUUACUGUUCGUGGCAAGCUUAACCGUAUAGGGGAGGCGAAGGGAAACCGAGUCUGAUAAGGGCGCAUAGUCGCGGGCAGUAGACCCGAAACCGGGUGAUCUAGUCAUGGCCAGGGUGAAGGUGCCGUAACAGGUACUGGAGGCCCGAACCCACGUCUGUUGCAAAAGACGGGGAUGAGCUGUGAUUAGGAGUGAAAAGCUAAUCGAACCCGGAGAUAGCUGGUUCUCCUCGAAAGCUAUUUAGGUAGCGCCUCGGACGAAUACUACUGGGGGUAGAGCACUGUUAUGGCUAGGGGGUCAUCGCGACUUACCAAACCAUUGCAAACUCCGAAUACCAGUACGUACUAUCCGGGAGACACACGGCGGGUGCUAACGUCCGUCGUGAAAAGGGAAACAACCCAGACCCACAGCUAAGGUCCCAAAUUCACUGCUAAGUGGAAAACGAUGUGGAAAGGCAUAGACAGCCAGGAGGUUGGCUUAGAAGCAGCCACCCUUUAAAGAAAGCGUAAUAGCUCACUGGUCGAGUCGGUCUGCGCGGAAGAUUUAACGGGGCUAAGCAGUGAACCGAAGCUUGGGGUGCAUAAAACUUGUUUUAUGCGCGGUAGAGGAGCGUUCCGUAAGCCUGCGAAGGUGGAUUGAGAAGUCUGCUGGAGGUAUCGGAAGUGCGAAUGCUGACAUGAGUAACGAUAAUGCGGGUGAAAAGCCCGCACGCCGAAAGCCCAAGGUUUCCUUGCGCAACGUUAAUCGACGCAGGGUUAGUCGGUCCCUAAGGCGAGGGCGAAAGCCGUAGUCGAUGGGAAGCAGGUUAAUAUUCCUGCACCUCGCGUGAGUGCGAUGGAGGGACGGAGAAGGUUAGGUGUACCGGGCGUUGGUUGUCCCGGGGAAAGGCGGUAGGUUUGGAUCUUUGGCAAAUCCGGGAUCCUUUAAGACCGAGCACCGAGACGAGCCUUUAUGGCGAAGUCACUGAUACCACGCUUCCAGGAAAAGCUCCUAAGCUUCAGCUCACGAAGACCGUACCGUAAACCGACACAGGUGGGUAGGAUGAGAAUUCUCAGGCGCUUGAGAGAACUCGGGUGAAGGAACUAGGCAACAUGGCACCGUAACUUCGGGAGAAGGUGCACCCUUUUUGGUGGCUCAUGCGAGCUAUAGCUGAAGAGGGUCGCAGAAACCAGGCCGCUGCGACUGUUUAUCAAAAACACAGCACUCUGCAAACACGAAAGUGGACGUAUAGGGUGUGACGCCUGCCCGGUGCUGGAAGGUUAAUUGAUGGGGUCAGCCGCAAGGCGAAGCUCUUGAUCGAAGCCCCAGUAAACGGCGGCCGUAACUAUAACGGUCCUAAGGUAGCGAAAUUCCUUGUCGGGUAAGUUCCGACCUGCACGAAUGGCGUAACGACAGCGGCGCUGUCUCCACCCGAGACUCAGUGAAAUUGAAAUCGCUGUGAAGAUGCAGCGUUCCCGUGGCAAGACGGAAAGACCCCGUGAACCUUUACUAUAGCUUUACACUGAACGUUGAGUUCGUCUGUGUAGGAUAGGUGGGAGGCUAUGAAACUGUGGCGCUAGCUGCAGUGGAGCCAUCCUUGAAAUACCACCCUGUCGUGCUUGACGUUCUAACCUAGAUCCGUUAUCCGGAUCAGGGACCGUGUAUGGUGGGUAGUUUGACUGGGGCGGUCUCCUCCUAAAGAGUAACGGAGGAGCACGAAGGUACGCUCAGCGCGGUCGGACAUCGCGCACUGUGUGCAAAGGCAUAAGCGUGCUUGACUGCAAGAUCGACGGAUCAAGCAGGUACGAAAGUAGGUCUUAGUGAUCCGGUGGUUCUGUAUGGAAGGGCCAUCGCUCAACGGAUAAAAGGUACUCCGGGGAUAACAGGCUGAUACCGCCCAAGAGUUCAUAUCGACGGCGGUGUUUGGCACCUCGAUGUCGGCUCAUCACAUCCUGGGGCUGUAGUCGGUCCCAAGGGUAUGGCUGUUCGCCAUUUAAAGUGGUACGCGAGCUGGGUUCAGAACGUCGUGAGACAGUUCGGUCCCUAUCUGCCAUGGGCGUUGGAAGUUUGAGAGGGGCUGCUCCUAGUACGAGAGGACCGGAGUGGACGAACCUCUGGUGUUCCGGUUGUCACGCCAGUGGCAUUGCCGGGUAGCUAUGUUCGGAAGCGAUAACCGCUGAAAGCAUCUAAGCGGGAAGCGCGCCUCAAGAUGAGACUUCCCGGGGCACAAGCCCCCUAAAGGAACCAUAUAGACUAUGUGGUUGAUAGGUCAGGUGUGUAAGUACAGCAAUGUAUUGAGCUAACUGAUACUAAUGAUCCGUGCGGCUUGACCAUAUAACCUCA